GAUGAACGCUGGCGGCGUGCUUAACACAUGCAAGUCGAACGGUGAACCCGGAGCUUGCUCUGUGGGAUCAGUGGCGAACGGGUGAGUAACACGUGAGCAACCUGCCCCUGACUCUGGGAUAAGCGCUGGAAACGGCGUCUAAUACUGGAUAUGUGACGUGACCGCAUGGUCUACGUUUGGAAAGAUUUUUCGGUUGGGGAUGGGCUCGCGGCCUAUCAGCUUGUUGGUGAGGUAAUGGCUCACCAAGGCGUCGACGGGUAGCCGGCCUGAGAGGGUGACCGGCCACACUGGGACUGAGACACGGCCCAGACUCCUACGGGAGGCAGCAGUGGGGAAUAUUGCACAAUGGGCGCAAGCCUGAUGCAGCAACGCCGCGUGAGGGAUGACGGCCUUCGGGUUGUAAACCUCUUUUAGCAGGGAAGAAGCGAAAGUGACGGUACCUGCAGAAAAAGCGCCGGCUAACUACGUG
rnacentral:rRNA from 1 species